rnacentral:rRNA from 1 species
CCAGCAGCCGCGGUAAUUCCAGCUCCAAUAGCGUAUAUUAAAGUUGUUGCAGUUAAAACGCUCGUAGUCUGAUGUAAUGGGGACGUCACAGGGGGUCCAUCGUCGUGCGGCGUCAAAACCGUGCGGCGGUGGGUCCCUGGGGCCCAGAUCGUUUACCGUGAAAAAAUUAGAGUGUUCAAAGCAGGCAGAUCCAAUUUUCUGCCACCGAAUACAUUAGCAUGGGAUAAUGGAAUAGGACCCUGUCCUCCUAUUUUCAGUUGGUUUUGGCAGCGCGAGGACUAGGGUAAUGAUUAAUAGGGAUAGUUGGGGGCAUUAAUAUUUAAUUGUCAGAGGUGAAAUUCUUGGAUUUA